rnacentral:rRNA from 1 species
UACGUAGGGUGCGAGCGUUGUCCGGAAUUAUUGGGCGUAAAGGGCUCGUAGGCGGUUUGUCGCGUCGGGAGUGAAAACUCAGGGCUUAACCCUGAGCCUGCUUCCGAUACGGGCAGACUAGAGGUAUGCAGGGGAGAACGGAAUUCCUGGUGUAGCGGUGAAAUGCGCAGAUAUCAGGAGGAACACCGGUGGCGAAGGCGGUCUCUGGGCAUUACCUGACGCUGAGGCGCGACAGCGUGGGGAGCAAACAGG